rnacentral:rRNA from 1 species
CCAAUAGCGUAUAUUAAAGUUGUUGCAGUUAAAAAGCUCGUAGUUGAAUUUCGGGAUCAGUACGUUGGUCGUGCCUUGGUAUGUACUGGCGUCACUGAUUCCUCCCUUCUGAAGAACCGUUAUGCCAUUAAUUUGGUGUGGCGGGAAAUCAGGACUGUUACUUUGAAAAAAUUAGAGUGUUUAAAGCAGGCUCGCGCUUGAAUACAUUAGCAUGGAAUAAUGAAAUAGGACGUUAAUCCUAUUUUGUUGGUUUCUAGGAUCGACGUAAUGAUUAAUAGGGAUAGUUGGGGGCAUUAGUAUUCAAUUGUCAGAGGUGAAAUUCUUGGAUUUAUUGAAGACUAACUACUGCGAAAGCAUUUGCCAAGGAUGUUUUCAUUAAUCAAGAACGAAAGUUAGGGGAUCGAAGACGAUCAGAUACCGUCGUAGUCUUAACCAUAAACUAUGCCGACUAGGGAUCGGAUGAUGUUAAUUUUUUAAUGACUCAUUCGGCGCCUUACG